rnacentral:rRNA from 1 species
GAUGAACGCUGGCGGCGUGCCUAAUACAUGCAAGUCGAGCGAACGGACGAGAAGCUUGCUUCUCUGAUGUUAGCGGCGGACGGGUGAGUAACACGUGGAUAACCUACCUAUAAGACUGGGAUAACUUCGGGAAGCCGGAGCUAAUACCGGAUAAUAUUUUGAACCGCAUGGUUCAAAAGUGAAAGACGGUCUUGCUGUCACUUAUAGAUGGAUCCGCGCUGCAUUAGCUAGUUGGUAAGGUAACGGCUUACCAAGGCAACGAUGCAUAGCCGACCUGAGAGGGUGAUCGGCCACACUGGAACUGAGACACGGUCCAGACUCCUACGGGAGGCAGCAGUAGGGAAUCUUCCGCAAUGGGCGAAAGCCUGACGGAGCAACGCCGCGUGAGCGAUGAAGGUCUUCGGAUCGUAAAACUCUGUUAUUAGGGAAGAACAUAUGUGUAAGUAACUGUGCACAUCUUGACGGUACCUAAUCAGAAAGCCACGGCUAACUACGUG